CAGGAAGUGUCUUUACCACUUGGGUAAUGCAGUUGAAUAAUCACCGUGGGGAUGAAAUAUAUAACUGAAUUAGACUAGGUAAUGAAAUUGAUAGUAUAGGUAAUAUGUUCAGGGAAGCACUUUUGUUUAAGUGCUAUUGACCAAUAUAAAUUUAAGCCAUUUAUGCCAGCAUAUAGUUUAAUGAAAUGUUCUAUAAUUUAAUAAUGACAUUCAUUUUAAGCAUGUUUUGAGCAUUAU